rnacentral:misc_RNA from 1 species
UGUGGGAGCGAGCCUGCUCGCGAAGGCGUCGUGUCAGUCGCUACUGCUGUGCCUGAUACACCGAUUCGCGAGCAGGCUCGCUCCCACA